rnacentral:rRNA from 1 species
AGAUUAAGUUAUUAAGGGCGCACGGUGGAUGCCUUGGCACUAGAAGCCGAUGAAGGACGUUACUAACGACGAUAUGCUUUGGGGAGCUGUAAGUAAGCUUUGAUCCAGAGAUUUCCGAAUGGGGAAACCCAGCAUGAGUUAUGUCAUGUUAUCGAUAUGUGAAUACAUAGCAUAUCAGAAGGCACACCCGGAGAACUGAAACAUCUUAGUACCCGGAGGAAGAGAAAGAAAAUUCGAUUCCCUUAGUAGCGGCGAGCGAAACGGGAAGAGCCCAAACCAACAAGCUUGCUUGUUGGGGUUGUAGGACACUCUAUACGGAGUUACAAAGGACGACAUUAGACGAAUCAUCUGGAAAGAUGAAUCAAAGAAGGUAAUAAUCCUGUAGUCGAAAAUGUUGUCUCUCUUGAGUGGAUCCUGAGUACGACGGAGCACGUGAAAUUCCGUCGGAAUCUGGGAGGACCAUCUCCUAAGGCUAAAUACUCUCUAGUGACCGAUAGUGAACCAGUACCGUGAGGGAAAGGUGAAAAGCACCCCGGAAGGGGAGUGAAAUAGAACCUGAAACCGUGUGCUUACAAGUAGUCAGAGCCCGUUAAUGGGUGAUGGCGUGCCUUUUGUAGAAUGAACCGGCGAGUUACGAUUUGAUGCAAGGUUAAGCAGUAAAUGUGGAGCCGUAGCGAAAGCGAGUCUGAAUAGGGCGUUUAGUAUUUGGUCGUAGACCCGAAACCAGGUGAUCUACCCUUGGUCAGGUUGAAGUUCAGGUAACACUGAAUGGAGGACCGAACCGACUUACGUUGAAAAGUGAGCGGAUGAACUGAGGGUAGCGGAGAAAUUCCAAUCGAACCUGGAGAUAGCUGGUUCUCUCCGAAAUAGCUUUAGGGCUAGCCUCAAGUGAUGAUUAUUGGAGGUAGAGCACUGUUUGGACGAGGGGCCCCUCUCGGGUUACCGAAUUCAGACAAACUCCGAAUGCCAAUUAAUUUAACUUGGGAGUCAGAACAUGGGUGAUAAGGUCCGUGUUCGAAAGGGAAACAGCCCAGACCACCAGCUAAGGUCCCAAAAUAUAUGUUAAGUGGAAAAGGAUGUGGCGUUGCCCAGACAACUAGGAUGUUGGCUUAGAAGCAGCCAUCAUUUAAAGAGUGCGUAAUAGCUCACUAGUCGAGUGACACUGCGCCGAAAAUGUACCGGGGCUAAACAUAUUACCGAAGCUGUGGAUUGUCCUUUGGACAAUGGUAGGAGAGCGUUCUAAGGGCGUUGAAGCAUGAUCGUAAGGACAUGUGGAGCGCUUAGAAGUGAGAAUGCCGGUGUGAGUAGCGAAAGACGGGUGAGAAUCCCGUCCACCGAUUGACUAAGGUUUCCAGAGGAAGGCUCGUCCGCUCUGGGUUAGUCGGGUCCUAAGCUGAGGCCGACAGGCGUAGGCGAUGGAUAACAGGUUGAUAUUCCUGUACCACCUAUAAUCGUUUUAAUCGAUGGGGGGGACGCAGUAGGAUAGGCGAAGCGUGCGAUUGGAUUGCACGUCUAAGCAGUAAGGCUGAGUAUUAGGCAAAUCCGGUACUCGUUAAGGCUGAGCUGUGAUGGGGAGAAGACAUUGUGUCUUCGAGUCGUUGAUUUCACACUGCCGAGAAAAGCCUCUAGAUAGAAAAUAGGUGCCCGUACCGCAAACCGACACAGGUAGUCAAGAUGAGAAUUCUAAGGUGAGCGAGCGAACUCUCGUUAAGGAACUCGGCAAAAUGACCCCGUAACUUCGGGAGAAGGGGUGCUCUUUAGGGUUAACGCCCAGAAGAGCCGCAGUGAAUAGGCCCAAGCGACUGUUUAUCAAAAACACAGGUCUCUGCUAAACCGUAAGGUGAUGUAUAGGGGCUGACGCCUGCCCGGUGCUGGAAGGUUAAGAGGAGUGGUUAGCUUCUGCGAAGCUACGAAUCGAAGCCCCAGUAAACGGCGGCCGUAACUAUAACGGUCCUAAGGUAGCGAAAUUCCUUGUCGGGUAAGUUCCGACCCGCACGAAAGGCGUAACGAUUUGGGCACUGUCUCAACGAGAGACUCGGUGAAAUCAUAGUACCUGUGAAGAUGCAGGUUACCCGCGACAGGACGGAAAGACCCCGUGGAGCUUUACUGUAGCCUGAUAUUGAAAUUCGGCACAGCUUGUACAGGAUAGGUAGGAGCCUUUGAAACGUGAGCGCUAGCUUACGUGGAGGCGCUGGUGGGAUACUACCCUAGCUGUGUUGGCUUUCUAACCCGCACCACUUAUCGUGGUGGGAGACAGUGUCAGGCGGGCAGUUUGACUGGGGCGGUCGCCUCCUAAAAGGUAACGGAGGCGCUCAAAGGUUCCCUCAGAAUGGUUGGAAAUCAUUCAUAGAGUGUAAAGGCAUAAGGGAGCUUGACUGCGAGACCUACAAGUCGAGCAGGGUCGAAAGACGGACUUAGUGAUCCGGUGGUUCCGCAUGGAAGGGCCAUCGCUCAACGGAUAAAAGCUACCCCGGGGAUAACAGGCUUAUCUCCCCCAAGAGUUCACAUCGACGGGGAGGUUUGGCACCUCGAUGUCGGCUCAUCGCAUCCUGGGGCUGUAGUCGGUCCCAAGGGUUGGGCUGUUCGCCCAUUAAAGCGGUACGCGAGCUGGGUUCAGAACGUCGUGAGACAGUUCGGUCCCUAUCCGUCGUGGGCGUAGGAAAUUUGAGAGGAGCUGUCCUUAGUACGAGAGGACCGGGAUGGACAUACCUCUGGUGUACCAGUUGUCGUGCCAACGGCAUAGCUGGGUAGCUAUGUGUGGACGGGAUAAGUGCUGAAAGCAUCUAAGCAUGAAGCCCCCC